rnacentral:rRNA from 1 species
CCUACGGGGGACAGCAGUGGGGAAUAUUGGGCAAUGGGCGCAAGCCUGACCCAGCAACGCCGCGUGAGGGAAGAAGGAUUUCGGGAUGUAAACUUCUUUUCUGAGGGACGAAGGAAGUGACGGUACCUGACGAAGAAGCCACGGCUAACUACGUGCCAGCAGCCGCGGUAAUACGUAGGGGGCAAGCGUUAUCCGGAUUUAUUGGGUGUAAAGGGCGUGUAGGCGGGAAUGCAAGUCUGAUGUGAAAACUCAGGGCCCAACCCCGAGCCUGCAUUUGAAACUGUUUGGCUUGAGUGCUGGAGAGGCAAUCGGAAUUCCGUGUGUAGCGGUGAAAUGCGUAGAUAUACGGAGGAACACCAGUGGCGAAGGCGAAUUGCUGGACAGUAACUGACGCUGAGGCGCGAAAGCGUGGGGAGCAAACAGGAUUAGAUACCCUAGUAGUC